UGAAACUUCAUCUACAACUGCAACAGGAACAUCAUCUAUGCCAGCAUCUACAUCUGAAUCAACGACAACAGCUGAACCAACAACAACUGAAACUUCAUCUACAACUGUAACAGGAACAACAACUACGCCAGCAUCUACAUCUGAAUCAACAACUGUAGUUGAACCAACAACUAAAACAUCUACAGCUCAAUCAACUGUACCAACAUCUACGAAUCAAACAACAGCUGUUCCAACAUCUGCAUCAGCUGCACCAAUUUCGACAGUUGCGGUAUUAUAUACACCAACUGAAUCAACAUCUACCACUCAAUCAACAACUGCACCAACAUCUGCCACUCUAUCAACAUCAGCUGCGUCAACAUUGACAUCAGCUGCAUUAACAACCACAACUCGAACAGCAACACCAGCAUCUACCUCUGAACUGACAACAACUCAACCAGUAAAUCAGUCAACACCCUCAUCUCCAGAAAUUUACCUGCAAAAUACGACAGCAGCUGCAUAUGUAACUUUCAAAAUGAGAUCCUUUGUUGACCUGAGCGAUGAUAAAAUCAUUACAUAUAUUGAAAAGUUUGUCAAGCAAUUUCACACAAACAGUAGUGGGACCAUCAGGAUUACUUUGAAGAAAUCAAAAAAAUUGUUGACCUGAGGAUCUGACAUGGAAAACUGCAAUCUUCUACAAAAAUAUCAGAAUGAUUAUACCAGUAUGAAAAUUAAAAAAGGUUUUGUCCAGUCAAUAUUUUUUUUCACUUUCUACAAUAUUUUUCAUAAUAUAUAUAUAUAGUGAUUGUGAUUAAAAGAAGCACUUGUAGUCACAGACAAAAGGUUAACAGCUAACUUUUCUUUUUCUUUUUUCUUUUUUGUAUCUUAGUUAAUCUGUUUUAAUUUAGGUGCCGCACUUUUUUCAUUCUCAACUCAAACUAUUUCUUGAGCUGUGUUGUGUAAUAUAAUAUAUUUUGUGGAUGUUAUUUAAUUUCUGCUCCUUUCAGUGUGAUUUAGAAAAAUCAUAUAUUCUAACAUUUAUUUAUUCUAAUACAUCUAACAUUUCAAAGUUGUGGAAUGUCAGAAUGUGUUGCAUUCGUCUUAUACUAGCUAGAUAACUAGAAGUCUUUAGGUCAAAACUGUUUUGUAAAUGUUGAUACAAGUACUGUUAUAUAAUAUAUACUGUAAAUACCAUGGUCUGUCUGAAUACUCGGAUUCUGAUGCCGAUUGCUCUUGUGCAUGUAGGCACCUGCUGUAUUGUAAAAUACUGAAUCUAGCCGCACAACGGCUGCUAAAAAUGACAACGAAGCCAGGGAAGUUUGCAGUUUAAUCUCUAUGUUAUUGUUUAUAUGGUCAUCAAGGAAACACACAGUGAAUGUGGGCAGCCACACCAUCAUUUUCAAAAGUCUCCAUUUUGGUCCGCUUACACUGAAACGCAACCACAAUCAGUUUUCAAACUAAUACAGGGUCUGCAGCAUUUUCAAAAAUCUCCAUUUUCGAGGGUUGAAAAUGCUGGAGAAGUGUAAACGUAUGAAAAAACAAAAAGUUAUGGGUUUUAAAAUGAAAAUGCACUAGUGUAAAUGUAGUCUUAGGCUGAUGAUACAUGGGGUGACUUUUUGAGCAAUUUUGCUGGGCAACUUGAGAAACAAGUUUCUAUCUGGAUACUUUAGAUCAGUCGUGGGCCCUGUGUCUAACCUGGUUGCCCGUUGAUGGCAACACUGCUCAAAAAGUUGCCCCGUGUGUCAUCAUCCUUAAUGUAGUGCCGAAUUCAACUGUCCAUGAAUCUCAGCUGCGACUCUGGGCGCUGUUCAAAAUCCUGCCAUGCCACUCACAAAGUUUUCCAUUAAAUUGUAUUAUAUUGGUCCCAAAUUAUUGUUAAGGUACAUAAAGACAAUGUAUUGUGCAAUUUUCAGUGAAACGUUUGUCUUUCUAUGGCUCUAAUAAAAUCCGGGCUUCAUAUAGAGGUUUCUGUUUUUUCGACAUAUCUGUUUUUUUCAAUCACCAAACUUCAAUCUCAUUGACAGCACUUGGUCAUUCUUGAAGUGAACUUUUGAGUGUUGGGAGAACAGAUUAAAGGUUUUGGACUGUCAUCUUGAAUUGAAUGUGACGCGUCUGGUGUGUGACACACACACAAAUAUCCGUGUAUAUUUCAGUGUAUAUUGCUAUUUGUUUUGGUUUGGGGUGUUUGUAUCACAUAUUUUGGUUCUUUGACCAAGUUUUUAGAUAGUUUGCUUGAUUACUGGUUGUUUGAAUCAUUUUCACAUCUGCUGUUCAUUUCUUUUAUUAGUUUGGUUGGUCUAAGCCCUGUGUUUUGUUCAGUUCUUUGUCAGUUCUCAUUGCUUGUUGUUUCUAGAUUCUGAGCUUCAUGUAAAUAAAACUGAUACUGAUGCAUUUACA